rnacentral:rRNA from 1 species
GACGAACGCUGGCGGCGUGCUUAACACAUGCAAGUCGAACGGAAAGGCCCUGCUUUUGUGGGGUGCUCGAGUGGCGAACGGGUGAGUAACACGUGAGUAACCUGCCCUUGACUUUGGGAUAACUUCAGGAAACUGGGGCUAAUACCGGAUAGGAGCUCCUGCUGCAUGGUGGGGGUUGGAAAGUUUCGGCGGUUGGGGAUGGACUCGCGGCUUAUCAGCUUGUUGGUGGGGUAGUGGCUUACCCAGGCUUUGACGGGUCGCCGGCCUGAGAGGGUGACCGGCCACAUUGGGACUGAGAUACGGCCCAGACUCGUACGGGAGGCAGCAGUGGGGAAUAUUGCACAAUGGGCGGAAGCCUGAUGCAGCAACGCCGCGUGCGGGAUGACGGCCUUCGGGUUGUAAACCGCUUUCGCCUGUGACGAAGCGUGAGUGACGGUAAUGGGUAAAGAAGCACCGGCUAACUACGUG